UACGAAGGGGGCUAGCGUUGCUCGGAAUCACUGGGCGUAAAGCGCACGUAGGCGGAUUGCUAAGUCAGGGGUGAAAUCCUGGAGCUCAACUCCAGAACUGCCUUUGAUACUGGCGGUCUCGAGUCCGGGAGAGGUGAGUGGAACUGCGAGUGUAGAGGUGAAAUUCGUAGAUAUUCGCAAGAACACCAGUGGCGAAGGCGGCUCACUGGCCCGGUACUGACGCUGAGGUGCGAAAAGCGUGGGGAGCAAAC
rnacentral:rRNA from 1 species